UUGGAGGGCAAGUCUGGUGCCAGCAGCCGCGGUAAUUCCAGCUCCAAUAGCGUAUAUUAAAGUUGUUGCAGUUAAAAAGCUCGUAGUUGAAUUUCGGGGUUCUACCGUUGGUCGGGCUUUGUCUGUACUGGUGUGUAGAAUUUCUACCUUCUGGGGAACCAUCAUGCUAUUAAUUUAGCGUGGUGGGAAACCAGGACCUUUACCUUGAAAAAAUUAGUGUGUUCAAAGCAGGCUUAUGUCUGAAUACAUUAGCGUGGAAUAAUAGAAUAGGACGGUGGUCCUGUUUUGUUGGUUUCUGAAUCACCGUAAUGAUUAAUAGGGAUAGUUGGGGGCAUUAGUAUUCAAUUGUCAGAGGUGAAAUUCUUGGAUUUAUUGAAGACUAACUUCAGCGAAAGCAUUUGCCAAGGAUGUUUUCAUUAAUCAAGAACGAAAGUUAGGGGAUCGAAGACGAUCAGAUACCGUCGUAGUCUUAACCAUAAACUAUGCCGACUAGGGAUCGGACGAUGUUAAUUUUUCUUGACUCGUUCGGCGCCUUACGGGAAAC
rnacentral:rRNA from 1 species